rnacentral:rRNA from 1 species
GAUGAACGCUGGCGGCGUGCCUAAUACAUGCAAGUCGAGCGAACGGACGAGAAGCUUGCUUCUCUGAUGUUAGCGGCGGACGGGUGAGUAACACGUGGAUAACCUACCUAUAAGACUGGGAUAACUUCGGGAAACCGGAGCUAAUACCGGAUAAUAUUUUGAACCGCAUGGUUCAAAAGUGAAAGACGGUCUUGCUGUCACUUAUUGAUGGAUCCGCGCUGCAUUAGCUAGUUGGUAAGGUAACGGCUUACCAAGGCAACGAUGCAUAGCCGACCUGAGAGGGUGAUCGGCCACACUGGAACUGAGACACGGUCCAGACUCCUACGGGAGGCAGCAGUAGGGAAUCUUCCGCAAAGGGCGAAAGCCUGACGGAGCAACGCCGCGUGAGUGAUGAAGGUCUUCGGAUCGUAAAACUCUGUUAUUAGGGAAGAACAUAUGUGUAAGUAACUGUGCACAUCUUGACGGUACCUAAUCAGAAAGCCACGGCUAACUACGUG